UACGUAGGGUCCGAGCGUUGUCCGGAAUUAUUGGGCGUAAAGAGCUCGUAGGCGGUCUGUCGCGUCGGCUGUGAAAACACGGGGCUCAACUCCGUGCCUGCAGUCGAUACGGGCAGACUAGAGUUCGGUAGGGGAGACUGGAAUUCCUGGUGUAGCGGUGAAAUGCGCAGAUAUCAGGAGGAACACCGAUGGCGAAGGCAGGUCUCUGGGCCGAUACUGACGCUGAGGAGCGAAAGCGUGGGGAGCGAACAGG
rnacentral:rRNA from 1 species